rnacentral:rRNA from 1 species
AGAGUUUGAUCAUGGCUCAGAACGAACGCUGGCGGCAUGCCUAACACAUGCAAGUCGAACGAGACCUCACCUUCGGGUGAACGUCUAGUGGCGCACGGGUGCGUAACGCGUGGGAAUCUGCCCUUCGGUUCGGAACAACAGUUAGAAAUGACUGCUAAUACCGGAUGAUGACGUAAGUCCAAAGAUUUAUCGCCGAAGGAUGAGCCCGCGUAGGAUUAGCUAGUUGGUAAGGUAAAAGCUUACCAAGGCGACGAUCCUUAGCUGGUCUGAGAGGAUGAUCAGCCACACUGGGACUGAGACACGGCCCAGACUCCUACGGGAGGCAGCAGUGGGGAAUAUUGGACAAUGGGCGAAAGCCUGAUCCAGCAAUGCCGCGUGAGUGAUGAAGGCCUUAGGGUUGUAAAGCUCUUUUACCAGGGAUGAUAAUGACAGUACCUGAGAAUAGUCCG